rnacentral:rRNA from 1 species
GACGAACGCUGGCGGCGUGCUUAACACAUGCAAGUCGAACGGAAAGGCCCUGCUUUUGUGGGGUGCUCGAGUGGCGAACGGGUGAGUAACACGUGAGUAACCUGCCCUUGACUUUGGGAUAACUUCAGGAAACUGGGGCUAAUACCGGAUAGGAGCUCCUGCUGCAUGGUGGGGGUUGGAAAGUUUCGGCGGUUGGGGAUGGACUCGCGGCUUAUCAGCUUGUUGGUGGGGUAGUGGCUUACCAAGGCUUUGACGGGUAGCCGGCCUGAGAGGGUGACCGGCCACAUUGGGACUGAGAUACGGCCCAGACUCCUACGGGAGGCAGCAGUGGGGAAUAUUGCACAAUGGGCGGAAGCCUGGUGCAGCAACGCCGCGUGCGGGAUGACGGCCUUCGGGUUGUAAACCGCUUUCGCCUGUGACGAAGCGUGAGUGACGGUAAUGGGUAAAGAGGCACCGGCUAACUACGUG